AUGUCAUCCGGGGCUGUGAAUCACGCGGUGCAACCGGGCACCUGCCGCGUGAGGAGCCAGUGGUGCGACCGAUCGGACGGGCA
rfam:Deinococcus peraridilitoris DSM 19664, complete genome.